GAUGAACGCUGGCGGCGUGCCUAAUACAUGCAAGUCGAGCGAACAGACGAGGAGCUUGCUCCUCUGACGUUAGCGGCGGACGGGUGAGUAACACGUGGAUAACCUACCUAUAAGACUGGGAUAACUUCGGGAAACCGGAGCUAAUACCGGAUAAUAUAUUGAACCGCAUGGUUCAAUAGUGAAAGACGGUUUUGCUGUCACUUAUAGAUGGAUCCGCGCCGCAUUAGCUAGUUGGUAAGGUAACGGCUUACCAAGGCAACGAUGCGUAGCCGACCUGAGAGGGUGAUCGGCCACACUGGAACUGAGACACGGUCCAGACUCCUACGGGAGGCAGCAGUAGGGAAUCUUCCGCAAUGGGCGAAAGCCUGACGGAGCAACGCCGGGGGAGUGAUGAAGGUUUUUGGAUCGUAAAACUCUUUUAUUAGGGAAAAAAAAAUGGGUAAGUAACUAUGCACGUUUUGACGGUACCAAAUCAGAAAGCCACGGCCAACUACGU
rnacentral:rRNA from 1 species